rnacentral:misc_RNA from 1 species
GUAGGUGAACCUGCGGAAGGAUCAUUACAGAGUUCAUGCCCUCACGGGUAGACCUCCCACCCUUGUGUAUCUAUACCAUGUUGCUUUGGCAGGCUGCUGGCCCCCUCGGGGGACAGCCCCAGCGCCCUCGGGCCUGAGAGGCGCCUGCCGGAGGAAAAACAAACUCUGAAUUGUUAGUGUCGUCUGAGUACUAUAUUUUAAUAGUUAAAACUUUCAACAACGGAUCUCUUGGUUCUGGCAUCGAUGAAGA